rnacentral:rRNA from 1 species
AGAGUUUGAUCAUGGCUCAGAACGAACGCUGGCGGCGUGCUUAACACAUGCAAGUCGAGUGCGCGUCUGUAGCAAUACAGAUGGCGCACGGCGCACGGGUGCGUAACACGUGGGCAAUCUGCCCUCCGAUGGGGAAUAACUCGCCGAAAGGCGAGCUAAUUCCGCAUAACAUUCCUUGGACUUCGGUUUGAGGACUCAAAGCCGUAAGGCGUCGGAGGAGGAGCCCGCGCCCGAUUAGCUAGUUGGUGGGGUAACGGCCCACCAAGGCAAUGAUCGGUAGCUGGUCUGAGAGGAUGGCCAGCCACACUGGAACUGAGACACGGUCCAGACUCCUACGGGAGGCAGCAGUGGGGAAUCUUGCACAAUGGGCGAAAGCCUGAUGCAGCGACGCCGCGUGGGGGAUGAAGCAUCUCGGUGUGUAAACCCCUUUCGACCCGGAAGAAUGCCUCGCAAGAGGACUGACGGUACGGGUAUAAGAAGCCCCGGCUAACUACGUGCCAGCAGCCGCGGUAAGACGUAGGGGGCCAGCGUUGUUCGGAAUUACUGGGUGUAAAGGGUUCGUAGGCGGUGCGGCAAGUUGGGAGUGAAAUCUCUGGGCUCAACCCAGAGGCUGCUUCCAAAACUGCUGUGCUUGAGUGUGGGAGAGGCGCGUGGAAUUGCAGGUGUAGCGGUGAAAUGCGUAGAUAUCUGCAGGAACACCCGUGGCGAAAGCGGCGCGCUGGACCACUACUGACGCUGAGGAACGAAAGCUAGGGGAGCAAACAGGAUUAGAUACCCUAGUAGUCC